CAUGUAGGCGGUUGCUUAAGUCGGACGUGAAAGCUCCUGGCUCAAUAGGAGAGGCCGUUCGAAACUGAGUAACUCGAGGAUGGUAGAGGAGAGUGGAAUUCCCGGUGUAGUGGUGAAAUGCGUAGAUAUCGGGAGGAACACCAGUGGCGAAGGCGGCUCUCUGGGCCAUUCCUGACGCUGAGAUGCGAAAGCUAGGGGAGAGAACG
rnacentral:rRNA from 1 species